CAGGGGAUGAACCAGUCAAGGAUCUUCUUGACGUGAUCCCCCAGCGCCCGGGUGGAGAAGCCUGAGGAUUCUGUUCAUCCACAGCUGCAAACACUGGACCAGCUGCCUUCACGCCGUGAACAUCAUCGAAAUAAUCGUCCAGUAAUGCUUCAUUGCACGAAAACUUAGCUUCAAUGUCAUUCUCCUAGAUAGGAGCCGGUGUGCUGCUGUUGUAUUUGAAGAAAAGUUUAAUGUUAACAUGCAUGUCAACGUUUAGGAUUAUACAUGUCUUGCGUAUCAGAAGUGAUGAUAUUUCAUACUGUUAGUACACAAAUAUAAAUACAGGAACUCUUGAUCUUGACAUCAACAAGCUGAUAUCUAAAACCCAAAUCUACGCCGCUUUUUCCUGAAAUCUAUAUGCUACCAAAAAUUAACAAAUAGAGAGAAUAACUCCUUUUUUAAUGCUGGGGAAAGGGUUCAUUGUUUUAAAAUCUUUGCUAACCGAACAAUGUGGAAAAAUGCAGACUUUGUCAUCAUGAAUGUUCCCAUUUGGCCAUUACAUAACAAGUUGAAAUGUAGUUGAUGAGGGGAUUUGUCUAUGUCACAUUCAGAAUGACCAUAGUAACUUUUACACUUAUAUUGACAACUUAACAUCUUAGUACUAUGAAUGAUCUAGACCAUGUUUCUGGUUUGAUGUAAGUCACCUGGACCUCUUUGUACUAUUGGGCAGAUCAGCAAACAAGCUUGGUGUGCGUGAGCA